UGGGGAAUAUUGGACAAUGGGGGCAACCCUGAUCCAGCAAUGCCGCGUGUGUGAAGAAGGCCUGAGGGUUGUAAAGCACUUUCAGUGGGGAGGAAAGGUUGUAGGUUAAGAGCUAACGACUGUGACGUUACCCACAGAAGAAGCACCGGCUAACUCCGUGCCAGCAGCCGCGGUAAUACGGAGGGUGCAAGCGUUAAUCGGAAUUACUGGGCGUAAAGGGUGCGUAGGUGGUUUAUUAAGUUAUCUGUAAAAUCCCUGGGCUUAACCUGGGCAGGUCAGAUAAGACUGGUAGACUAGAGUAUGGGAGAGGGUAGUGGAAUUUCCGGUGUAGCGGUGAAAUGCGUAGAGAUCGGAAGGAACACCAGUGGCGAAGGCGGCUACCUGGCCUAAUACUGACACUGAGGCACGAAAGCGUGGGGAGCAAACAGG
rnacentral:rRNA from 1 species